UAGAUCUGACACAGCCACGCACUCUAUACUGAUGUGUGCUGAAUCUCGGCAGAUUCUCCGAGCGCCUCAGGGAGAAAACACUUCUGCUGUCUCCUCAGAUGAGGAAACCAGGGACCCACCUGAGGUCUCACGACUGGGAAUGCUUUUGCUCUCCUUGUUUCAGCAUGCCUGUAUGUAUCCUUAUCUGCCAGAACAUGUUCUGCUCCAGGAAGCCCUUCUCCUCCCUUCUGCCAAAGCCUAACUCCAAACUGUACAGUUAUCUGUAAUGUGCCAGACUCCCUAGCACUGGUUUUCUGAAGUCCAGCCCCACACAAGGAGUUGGUUCAGUACAAAGAGUUGUCAGCUCCCAGGCCCCACGGGUCUCCUCCAACCAGCAACUGCCAUGAGUCUGGGACCAACCCAGCCCUCAGGGAGCUGCAGGCCUAAGGUAAACCCAGGUCUGGGCCGGACCUCUGCCCUCCUCCUCAGCUGCCCAACCCACCAGCACAGUGUUCACACGAACACCCAUCCCUAUUAGCCAAGCCCCACUACCUCUCCCCGCCCCACCCUGGCCAAACACUGGCAGAGGGAGCUGGCGAACCAGACUGGCAGGCCUUCCUGGGGGCAGGCAGGCCUUAAGGAACCUCAGGAUAAGGAGGUGAAAUGGAGGUCACCGGGGCUCCCAGAAGCCAGACAGACGUGGAGAGGAGCUGCUCUCGGCUGGGACCUAAGGGCAGGCUCUGCCAUUGACAGCCCCCGUUUACAGUAGGUAACUACUCUGAUAGACUCGGCAACAGCAGAACCAGCAGGCUCACGCUCAGUCACACAGCAGCAGCUGGAAGAGCCAAGUCCAGUCCACUGCUCUGCCCCAAAGACUCACGGUGGCUGACAUGGGCAGAGCAGCUCCGGGCCCUGCCGGCCUUGGGGGCUUGGACUUCAGGGCCAAGCUUCAGGGGCUUUGCAGAAGUCUGGCAGAUGAUGGCAUUGCUGAACCUGUUCUUGACAGGCACUGUAUCUUUGUGAACUUCAUGACAACUCUGUCGGCAGACAUCACCAUUUCACAAAUGAGGAAACUGAGUGUCAGUGAGGUGAAGCAACUCAACCGCCAGCAGGGUUAACUUAGCAAUCCUGUUAGAACCAGGGUUUGAGAUCAGGAACGACAAUUCCAGAGGCUGAUUUCAUAGACACUGCUCUACUGUGGCAGGAAUAGCUGUCCCCACUUCUAUCCGGCAGAUGAAAAACCAUCCAGAAACAACACGGUGCCCUUCACUAUCCCACUUUUAAGUUGGACCUCUUCCCAAACUUCAUUGACGGGGCCCCCUGCUGGCCAGUCAAGGGUUACAGGCUCUCCACGAUAAUCAUUGACUGCCACCUAAUGGCACCACAUGGAAUGUCACAUUCUAUCUCUUCAUGUAAUGCCAAAAUGCUAAGAUUGCUCUUCCCAUCUUCUUGCUUCAGGAUCCGUAAGAACUACAGGUAAAUGUUAUUCCUAACUUAUGAAUGAGGAAAUGGAGACCCAGUGGAGUGAGUUAAACAGCUUCUUGAAGGUAUACAGUAAGUAUUGUAUAGAAGUUAAGGAUCAGAAUCCUCUAUAUCAUUUCCUGAAAAUGUGACUUGAGUAAAGACAUUUUGUUAUUUAUUUUUGGUGGACAGCUAACUAUCAUUGCCACAAUAACAAUUUUUUUCUGGCUUUAUUUACUAAACAGUUCUACCUUUACCCAUUAAUCUCCCAAUGUAGCUCUAUCAUAUGUCAAAGUUUGGUAUUUGAAUAAGGCUGUUCCUGGACUCUCUUUUCUAAUCCACUGGUCAAUUUGUCUAGCCCUAGGUCUGUAUCAUAUACUACAGCUUCAUAAUAAAGUGAAGAUUCUU